UACGAAGGGGGCGAGCGUUGUUCGGAUUUACUGGGCGUAAAGAGUGCGUAGGCGGUGCUCCAAGUCUGGUGUGAAAUCUCCCGGCUUAACCGGGAGGGUGCGCCGGAAACUGGGGUGCUGGAGUGUGGGAGAGGUAAGCGGAAUUCCCGGUGUAGCGGUGAAAUGCGUAGAUAUCAGGAGGAACACCGGUGGUGUAAACGGCUUUCUGGACCAUAACUGACGCUGAGGCACGAAAGCGUGGGGAGCGAACAGG
rnacentral:rRNA from 1 species